CCCUCUGUCCCAAAUUGCUUUCAGUGCUGCACCUCCUCCUCAGAUCCUGUACAACCCUGCCCAGCAGAUCCUGACGUACGCUGGCUUCUGCCCUUCCGCAGCCAUUUCUACAUAUCCAUCCUACCCCUUACCUCUGCAGCCUGCCAGCAAUUUCCCAGGAACAUCAUCUACUGACAUUUCUUUAUCAGAAGAAACUCAGCCUCCAUCUCAGUCCAGCUCCAGCUAUGGUCUUCCCCCCAAUGCUCCAGCCCUUUAUACUCCAACUUACUUCUUGCCUGGAGAAAAGCCUCCACCAUAUGCACCAUAGAACAAAGAAUUUUAGGUAGCUCGUAGCCUUUUAUUUUGUUUUUAAGAAACCUCUGGAAACUGUGCUGUGCAGGCGCCAGACCUCCCCAGGAACCCACUACAGAAUGUGUCACGGCCACUCUGCUUUUACCCACAUCUCACUGUGGGCAGAGCAGAACCCUGGAAACCUUGGGGCAGAGACAUCACCAGUGGGGUGACCAGUUGCCACCCAGUUUGCUUGCAGUCAAAUGCAGUGUUGCUUUCUGGAGACCAUGAGACCUUCUUGCUACACUGUAGAAUGAAUUUUCUUCAAGAGGAGAAAUGAUGAAAACACCCUGGGUACAUGUUCUGCUUUCGUAAACCAAUGUAGGGGGGUUGUAGCCUGUGUUGUCUGAGUGGAUAGUCAGGAGCUCUCCGAGUCAAUCAUUUUGGGUAGAAAGAGACCAGGUGUUUGUUUGCUUGUAGUAUUUAUUUAAUAACCCUUUUUGGUGAAAGUGUUGUACCAAUAAAUAAAGUGUGGCAAUUAUUUUACAAUAAAA